GCGUGGGGAGCGAACAGGAUUAGAUACCCUGGUAGUCCACGCCGUAAACGGUGGGUACUAGGUGUGGGUUUCCUUCCUUGGGAUCCGUGCCGUAGCUAACGCAUUAAGUACCCCGCCUGGGGAGUACGGCCGCAAGGCUAAAACUCAAAGAAAUUGACGGGGGCCCGCACAAGCGGCGGAGCAUGUGGAUUAAUUCGAUGCAACGCGAAGAACCUUACCUGGGUUUGACAUGCACAGGACGCUGGUAGAGAUAUCAGUUCCCUUGUGGUCUGUGUGCAGGUGGUGCAUGGCUGUCGUCAGCUCGUGUCGUGAGAUGUUGGGUUAAGUCCCGCAACGAGCGCAACCCUUGUCCUAUGUUGCCAGCGGGUUAUGCCGGGGACUCGUAGGAGACUGCCGGGGUCAACUCGGAGGAAGGUGGGGAUGACGUCAAGUCAUCAUGCCCCUUAUGUCCAGGGCUUCACACAUGCUACAAUGGCCGGUACAAAGGGCUGCGAUGCCGUGAGGUGGAGCGAAUCCUUGUAAAGCCGGUCUCAGUUCGGAUCGGGGUCUGCAACUCGACCCCGUGAAGUCGGAGUCGCUAGUAAUCGCAGAUCAGCAACGCUGCGGUGAAUACGUUCCCGGGCCUUGUACACACCGCCCGUCACGUCAUGAAAGUCGGUAACACCCGAAGCCGGUGGCCUAACCCCUUGUGGGAGGGAGCCGUCG
rnacentral:rRNA from 1 species